rfam:Brassica oleracea var. oleracea cultivar TO1000 chromosome C9, whole genome shotgun sequence
GAAAUAUAAAAAUCUGUCUCUUAACUUUUAACCAAAAAGAUUAAAAACGUGUUCUUAAAUAAGAGUUUUAAGAGCUGGUUCUUAACUUUUUUAGUUAAAAGUUAAGAGACAGAUUCUUAUAUUCC